AGGAGGAACAACCACAGUGGCGGCGGCCAGCUCUGCAGCCCUGGAGUCAGCUCCCGCAGUAAUUCCGGAGCUCUCUGUCCUCAGGGCCUGGAGGCUCCUGGGGCGGG
rnacentral:pre_miRNA from 1 species